GAUCAGAUUGAGCGCUGGCGGCAUGCCUUACACAUGCAAGUCGAACGGCAGCACGGGGGCAACCCUGGUGGCGAGUGGCGAACGGGUGAGUAAUACAUCGGAACGUGUCCUGUAGUGGGGGAUAGCCCGGCGAAAGCCGGAUUAAUACCGCAUACGCUCUACGGAGGAAAGGGGGGGAUCUUAGGACCUCCCGCUACAGGGGCGGCCGAUGGCAGAUUAGCUAGUUGGUGGGGUAAAGGCCUACCAAGGCGACGAUCUGUAGCUGGUCUGAGAGGACGACCAGCCACACUGGGACUGAGACACGGCCCAGACUCCUACGGGAGGCAGCAGUGGGGAAUUUUGGACAAUGGGGGCAACCCUGAUCCAGCAAUGCCGCGUGUGUGAAGAAGGCCUUCGGGUUGUAAAGCACUUUUGUCCGGAAAGAAAACGCCGUGGUUAAUACCCGUGGCGGAUGACGGUACCGGAAGAAUAAGCACCGGCUAACUACGUGCCAGCAGCCGCGGUAAUACGUAGGGUGCAAGCGUUAAUCGGAAUACUGGGCGUAAGCGUGCGCAGGCGGUCCGCUAAGACAGAUGUGAAAUCCCCGGGCUUAACCUGGGAACUGCAUUUGUGACUGGCGGGCUAGAGUAUGGCAGAGGGGGGUAGAAUUCCACGUG
rnacentral:rRNA from 1 species